AUGCAUCCUCUGCAACCAUUCAAUGUUGGACGUCCAUAUAAAUCAAAUACAGUAAUAAACAAGGUAAACUAACUAAAAGUUCUCUAAUUUCACGCUUACCCAGACGAUACUCAAGUCUCUAUAGCAAGAAUAGAAAAAAUCUAGACAAGCAAUAAACCAAAUGUAAGAAUAACAACUGAUCUUCAACAUAACACUAAGAAUGGGUUUUGAAGACACCAAAAAUCAUGUUUGAAGAUAAAAGCUGAUUUUCUACUGCAGGUUAUAUUCCGGCGUACUUUAGAGUUAGUAAAUGAAAUCGAAACCUUGGUAGACUUUAUUAAUUUUCCCUGCAGAGUUCCGAUUGAACCAUGUUUCUGGUUUCUUUCUUUUUUUGAACUUGGUAACUUUGUAUUAUAUCACAAUAUGCAGAUGUACUCCAAACUCCACUGCUCUAUAUCUAUACUGAGUCUAAAACAUCAAUUAUGUGACAGUGUCAUUUGAGUAUAACUGAUUACACCAAAAACAUAACAACAAAAUGCAGUUUAGUUUAACUUUCUGCACACUAUUCUCUAUGCUCUCAAAACACCUAGAGUUCCUUUCUUUCCAAAUUGCCCACCAUAUUGAAGCAGGGAUAAUUCUCCAUCUAGCUCUGUCUUUAGCAUGGACGCCUGCCUCCUCCAAGCUUUUUAGAGCUUCAGUGACUCUCCUCGGCAUACUCCAAUAUAUGCCUUUAAGGAUCAAAAAUAUUCUCCAUAGCUGCUGAGUAUAUUUGUAGUGUAGAAACAGAUGGUUUACGGUUUCUGAGGUUUCCCCACAUAGGAAACACCUAGAACAUAAGGUUAUCCCCUUUUUACAUAAUCCCGAGUCAGAGCUGCUUCCUUAGCUAGCAGCCACAUAAAACAUGAAACUUUAUUGGGAAUUCUUCCUUUAAUUUACUACUACUGGUUUCAUCAAUUAUACUUUAACAUUACUGUUUGGUAAACCAUAUCAAUUUUUCCCUUCUUUUUUUCCGCUGCACAGAUGUUUAGUAUUUACUACCGCAUACAAGCACAGAUAUUGGGUGACAGAAGGGUAACUCUGUCAGAUUGACAUUUCAACUGAUAGGAAAAACUCAACAGUUUUUUUUUUCUUGUAUUUUCACAUGGUUUCACCACAUCAAAAAAAAAAACGUUCAUCCUAACAUUAUUCUCCAUAAAUUCUUAUUCUUCCGAAUUAUCAAGUAUCAAUAUUUUUUCUAUAACCAUAAUAUACCGACCAGCUUGCGUCCUCAACUAAUUCCAUAGGAUACCUACCAUCUCCCACCAGAUAACUCUAUCCAACAAGACUAGAACUCCGGUAUCAAUAUUUUUUAAAAUUAUAACCGUGGUGUCCAAGUGAGCUUGACCCACCUAACUUAAUACACAGAUACCUGCCACCUCUCACCAGCGACAGCAGGUAACUCUAUCCACCAAGUCUAGAACUCCAGUAUCAAACAAAUAUUCCAGCUUGAGCACACCUCAACUAAUUACAACUAAUUACAAGCAAUAAGUACCAGCUAACACUAUCCAUCAACGCUAUAACUCGAGUAUCAAUAUUUAAUCAACUAUAUCCAUGAACAACAAGUAAUUUUUUUCAAAAAAAAAAAAAAAAAAAAAACAA